UUUCCAGAAAGAACAGUAGACAAUAUCUUUCAACAUAUAUGCGAUGGGAGGGUGUGUAUGUAUAUGUUUUAGCACAUAUAAGAGUAACCCUCACAGUUCUUUUAUUAAAGAAUCUCUCCCUCUCUUUGUUAUCCUGUGCCAUAUUUUAAAUUUUUUCUUUCUUUCUUCUUUGUGAAGUUUAACAUUAGUCCAGGUAAAAGCCAUGAAAUUUGUUGAGACUGGUGCUCUAGUUUCAGUGGUGGUAAAGAGAUGGAGAAAACUUUUCAAGUUGAAGAGGAGAGUGGAGUUGGUCUUUGAAUGAUGGGAGGGUGAAGGAUUUUAUGUUUUUCUGUUUUGUGCGUGCGGGUGUUGUGGGCUAACCUUUCCCACUUGGCAUGAUAUAUAUGAAAAUUAUAUAAAUGGCUAAUGCUUCUCCUUUGAGUGGACUGUUGAAAAGGGUGCGUCUCUUUGUUGUCAGUAUGUUACACGUGUCUCUCUAUCUCUCUAUAUAUAUAUAUAUAUUAUACCUGUUUUAUCUUAAUUCACUAAAAUUGUAUCUUGGAUAGCGGCGGUGUCCAGACACUGCUUGUUGGACCGCAAAGAUUGUGGGGCCCGCUUCGCUAUUGUCCUUGGAAAUGAAU
rnacentral:misc_RNA from 1 species